CUGGGACCUUCUCUUUCCCACUUUCCUUCACUAUUUCUCAGGAUCACUUCAUGAAACCAACAAUCCUCAGCCACAUCACAGGCUCUGUUUUAGAGGAGCCACACGAAGAAGGCUUCCGAGAGCAAAGCAGCGUGUGCUACCCACAGCAGAGCUCUCCCCAAACUCGGCCUUCUGAGGGGCCUAGAGGACAUGCCCAGUGCUGCCGUUUCUUGCAGAGGAUGAGGUGUUCUACAGUCACUCGAGACCCAGCAGGAGGGGGACCUGG
rnacentral:lncRNA from 1 species